rnacentral:rRNA from 1 species
AUUGAACGCUGGCGGCAGGCCUAACACAUGCAAGUCGAGCGGAUGAGGAAAGCUUGCUUUUCGAUUCAGCGGCGGACGGGUGAGUAAUGCCUAGGAAUCUGCCUGUUAGUGGGGGAUAACUCGGGGAAACUCGGGCUAAUACCGCAUACGUCCUACGGGAGAAAGUGGGGGAUCUUCGGACCUCACGCUAACAGAUGAGCCUAGGUCGGAUUAGCUAGUAGGUGAGGUAAUGGCUCACCUAGGCGACGAUCCGUAACUGGUCUGAGAGGAUGAUCAGUCACGCUGGAACUGAGACACGGUCCAGACUCCUACGGGAGGCAGCAGUGGGGAAUAUUGGACAAUGGGCGAAAGCCUGAUCCAGUCAUGCCGCGUGUGUGAAGAAGGUCUUCGGAUUAUAAAGCACUUUAAGUUGGGAGGAAGGGUAUUCACCUAAUACGUGGGUACUUUGACGUUACCAACAGAAUAAGCACCGGCUAACUCUGUGCCAGCCGCCGCGGUAACAC